AUUGAACGCCGGCGGCAUGCCUUACACAUGCAAGUCGAACGGUAACGCGGGGCAACCUGGCGACGAGUGGCGAACGGGUGAGUAAUGCAUCGGAACGUGCCCGGUAGUGGGGGAUAACUGCUCGAAAGAGCAGCUAAUACCGCAUACGACCUGAGGGUGAAAGGGGGGGAUCGCAAGACCUCUCGCUAUCGGAGCGGCCGAUGUCGGAUUAGCUAGUUGGUGGGGUAAAAGCCCACCAAGGCGACGAUCCGUAGCUGGUCUGAGAGGACGACCAGCCACACUGGGACUGAGACACGGCCCAGACUCCUACGGGAGGCAGCAGUGGGGAAUUUUGGACAAUGGACGCAAGUCUGAUCCAGCCAUGCCGCGUGCGGGAAGAAGGCCUUCGGGUUGUAAACCGCUUUUGUCAGGGAAGAAAUCUUCUGAGUUAAUACCUCGGGAGGAUGACGGUACCUGAAGAAUAAGCACCGGCUAACUACGUGCCAGCCGCCGCCGUAAGAC
rnacentral:rRNA from 1 species